CAGGGAGUUUGGCUGGGGCGGCACAUCUGUUACAUGAUAACGCAGGUGUCCAAAGAUGGACUCAAAGAGGACAGAAACCUCUUGUUGAACAUAAGGGUAUAAGUUUAUUUGAAUAGUGAAACCAGUAAUUGUACUAAAUCUGAAAUGAAGGCCUAACGAUCCCUAAGAAUUUGCUAUGACAAAAAGAAUCGAGUAACUUAAAAUGCUAUGAAAAUUAUAAGGUGUCAUAGUCCUUUGACAAUAAGGUUUGGGGUGUCAGAAAAGUUACCACAGGGAUAACUGGCUUGUGGCUGCCAAGCGAUCAUAGCGACGUUGCUUUUUGAUCCUUCGAUGUCGGCUCUUCCUAUCCAUUUUAAGCAGAAUUGAAAAAUAGUAUGAUUGUUCACCAUUCAAUAGGGAACGUGAGCUGGGUUUAGACCGUCGUGAGACAGGUUAGUUUUACCCUACCGUUUUUAGGUAGUAUUUUCUGGAGUAAUUUAAUAGAAGUGUAACUCAGUACGAGAGGAACCGUUACAUCAUGCCUCUGGAUUAUUCAAUUAUUUGACCAAGUAGUGUUGACAAUCUAACCCAUGUUAAAAUAAUGGCUGAAAGCCUCUCAAGCCAGAAUUUUGCCUAAAACUGACUACUCUACCAAUUUUUACUGACAAAUUUUCAUAAAAUAAUUUGAAAAACACACUUAAAAUUAUAGGCUAUCCUUAACGAUUUUUUUUCUUGAGAUACCUAUUUCUAUCAUAUACCAACCGAAAAUUUUGUUAAUCAUGAUAGACGAUCAACAUUUACAACGGAGGUUUGUAAGUGUAUAAGUUUCUUGUUGGAUUUUGUUCUGAAUUUGUUACGAGCCACUGAGAAUUUUCUCUCGUUGGGGAAAAAGGU
rnacentral:ncRNA from 1 species